rnacentral:rRNA from 1 species
UACGGGGGGGGCAAGCGUUGUUCGGAAUUACUGGGCGUAAAGGGUUCGUAGGUGGCCAACUAAGUCAGACGUGAAAUCCCUCAGCUUAACUGGGGAACUGCGUCUGAUACUGGUUGGCUUGAGUGCAGGAGAGGAACGCGGAAUUCCAGGUGUAGCGGUGAAAUGCGUAGAUAUCUGGAGGAACACCAAUGGCGAAGGCAGCUCGCUGGGACGGUACUGACGCUGAGACGCGAAAGCGUGGGGAGCAAACAGG